AUACUUACCUGGCAGGGGAGAUACCAUGAUCACGAAGGUGGUUUUCCCAGGGCGAGGCUUAUCCAUUGCACUCCGGAUGUGCUGACCCCUGCGAUUUCCCAAAUGUGGGAAACUCGACUGCAUAAUUUGUGGAGUGGGGACUGCGUUCGCGCUUUCCCUGA
rnacentral:snRNA from 1 species